rnacentral:rRNA from 1 species
AAUAGAUACCCGGGUAGUCCACGCCGUAAACGAUGAGUGCUAAGUGUUAGAGGGUUUCCGCCCUUUAGUGCUGCAGCUAACGCAUUAAGCACUCCGCCUGGGGAGUACGGUCGCAAGACUGAAACUCAAAGGAAUUGACGGGGGCCCGCACAAGCGGUGGAGCAUGUGGUUUAAUUCGAAGCAACGCGAAGAACCUUACCAGGUCUUGAUAUCCUCUGACAACUCUAGAGAUAGAGCGUUCCCCUUCGGGGGACAGAGUGACAGGUGGUGCAUGGUUGUCGUCAGCUCGUGUCGUGAGAUGUUGGGUUAAGUCCCGCAACGAGCGCAACCCUUGAUCUUAGUUGCCAGCAUUCAGUUGGGCACUCUAAGGUGACUGCCGGUGACAAACCGGAGGAAGGUGGGGAUGACGUCAAAUCAUCAUGCCCCUUAUGACCUGGGCUACACACGUGCUACAAUGGAUGGUACAAAGGGCUGCAAGACCGCGAGGUCAAGCCAAUCCCAUAAACCAUUCUCAGUUCGGAUUGU